rnacentral:lncRNA from 1 species
UUCCUGAUGGUCCACACCUGUUGCACUAAAGCAUUAAUUAAAUGUAGAUGCUCUGGAGGCAACUUCCCAGGCAUGCGCAUUAAGAGACAAAAUGGCAGAGUAUGAGCUUCCGGGGGCACGCCACCGGAAGAGGGAAGAAAGCCUCAGAUAGGCAUGCGUACACCUCCCAAGGGAAAGGAGGGCUCUGUGCAUGCAGGCAGCCCACCCUAAGGGAAGAAUCAUGGGAAAGGGGCCAGUCUAUAAAGUUCUAGGGUCAAGGUUAAAAGUUGCACUUGACCUCGGUGCCUGCUUGAGUCUCUUCCAAGCGCACUUUCUUUUCUCUCCUGUUCUAAAGUCCUUUUUUUUUUUUUUUUUUUGGUGUGUGUGACGGAGUUACUCUCUUGUUGCCCAGGCUGGAUUGUAAUGGUGCAAUCUCGGCUCACUGCAACUCCACCUCCCACGUGCAAAUGAUUCUCCUGCCUCAGCUUCCCGAUUAACUGGGAUUACAGGCACUCGCCACCACACGUAGCUAGUUUUUGUAUUUUUUCAGUAGAGACGGGGUUUCACCAUGUUGGCCAGGCCGGUUUCACACUCCUGACCUUAGGCGAUCCACCUGACUCGGCCUCCCAAAGUGCUGGGAUUACAGGCGUGAGCCACUGCACCUGGCCUCUAAAGUAUUUUAAAGUAAACUUCCACUCCUGCUUUGAAACUUGCCUCAGUCUCUUUUUCUGUCUUGUGCCCCUCAGUUGACUUCUUUCUUCUGAGGAGGCAAGAAUUGAGGUUGCGGCAGACCUGUACGGAUUCGCCGCGGGGAACUUGGAUACCUGCCACUGGUCACACUGUCUGGCACACGGCGCAUGAUGAAGGAGCUCACCGGCCUCACCCAAGCUCGCAGCAUUGUGCCAGGAAAGGAUGUUCUCGGCUCCGGCCUCUUUCCUCCUCUCCUGGGGACAGAACAUGGAUCCUGGAAGGCAUUGAGGACCCUGUGCUCAGCCCCUGCCCAUCCCUUCCACCACUUAUCUGUCCUGUAGGCACACUGACGCGGCUUUCACAAAAUGGGAGGCUCUGAGAGGGAACAUCUCCCUGGAUCCCCUCUCUUCCAAUGGACCUGUGCUAUGGUCUGAAAGUUUGUGUCUCCUGGAAAUUCAUAUAUUGAGAACUAACCCCAAGGCAAUGGUAUGAGGAGGUGGGGCCCUGGAUAGGUGAUGACGUCAUGAGGGAUCCACCCUCCUGAGUGGGAUUUGUGUCAUUAUAAUAGAGGCCCCAGAGGCUGCCUUGUCCUUUCCACCUCAUGGGACACAGCAAGAAGGAGCCGUCUGUGAACCAGGAAGCAGGCCCUCACCAAACCUGCUGCCAUCUUGAUUUUGGACUUCCAGCUUCCAGAGCUGUAAUAAAGAAA